UACGGAGGGUGCAAGCGUUAUUCGGAUUCACUGGGCUUAAAGGGUGCGUAGGUGGCUUUGUAAGUCAGUGGUGAAAUCUCGGAGCUUAACUCCGAAACUGCCUUUGAUACUGCUUAGCUUGAAUCAGGUAGAGGUGGAUGGAAUAUUACAUGUAGCGGUGAAAUGCUUAGAUAUGUAAUAGAACACCGAUGGCGAAGGCAGUUCACUAUGCCUGCACUGACACUGAGGCACGAAAGCGUGGGGAGCAAACAGG
rnacentral:rRNA from 1 species